ACGACUACGACACGGCCACUUGGAAGGGCAACUGCAGAAGGCCCUCCGGGUUUGCCGCUGUGCACUGGAAGUCUGAUGAAUCGUUCUGGCUGGGCUGGGGCUGCGCGACACGACGACCUGCCGCCAAGGCGGCGAAUCAAGCAGCAAUCCCCACGCCCGGGUCCAAUCAUAGCUUAGCGCUUCUUCCCCCAAGCAGAUUCUCCUCGGAGCUCCGAUGCACGGACCAUGCACUCUCAUUUCACCGUGCAAAGUCAGAGGACAACUUCCGGCAUUGCCACGGAGCUGUCCGGCAGAAGGACGAACGGUCGCGCGGCUUCCCCUGUCACGACUCGCACCGCAGGUCCACGUCCUUUCUCCCGCCGCCGCCGCCGUCGCCGUCGGGGCUGCGUCCGGGCCAGACGGGCGGGGGAGGGGUGACGGAGACGGAGACGGAGACGGACAGGCGGCCGAACCCCCAGUGCCCCACCCGGUACAUCUCCUCCAUCCACACCUUCUCCGCGUCGAGCCUGCCUGAGCCUGACGACGACGAGUUGCUCGCCCUCGCCCGCGCGGCCGCCUCCAAGGCCCACGCGCCCCUCGACGCGGCGCCGGCGUCGGAGCUGCGGCACUUGGCCUUGUCGGCGGGGCCGUGCAUGUCGCGCACCCGCUUCCUGUGCCGCAGCUCGCCGCGCAGCCGCCGCAGGCAGCGGCGCGCCAGGGCGAGCGGGGCCUUGACGAGCGCCAGCCCCAGCAGGCUGACCACCGCGCACGGGCAGCAGCCGAGCGCGAUGGCGUCCGCCAGCGUCACCGCCACGCAGGACCGGCACGUCUGCGCCGUGCAGUCCGCCUGGUCCACCACCGGGACGGGCGCGGCGGGCCCAUCGUGGCGGUGGAACCGCCCGCGCCGGCUCGCCUCCAUCGCGCCGCCGCCGCCGCCGCGACGAACCCCGGCGCGCCCGCCGGUCAAGUCCUCAUUCCGAUGCCGAUGCGGCCUGUCCAUCGCGGGGAGGAGGAGGAGGAGGAGGAGCGAACCGUGAGC
rnacentral:misc_RNA from 1 species